AAUGUUCCAUGUGCUUAUACAGACUAGCACAUAGCCUAUGUGUAUGUAUGAAACAAUCAUUGCUGAUUGUAGACCAUCAACACACCAAAAGAUCCCUAUAAAACCUACUGAUGCUCAUUGUUUUUUUGUAAUGAGUCAGUUGUGUAAAAUGACUACCAAAUACAACAUAACUGCUUGAGGACACACACAGACAUUUAGAAGCACUAGAGGAAUAUCUGAUCAUUUUGGUCUCAAUCCACUGUUAUCCACAUCACAUGACCACAUGAAUGUUGAGGGAGGCUGAGAGGUUAGAUUUAGCAGGGAAGGAUGUCAUGAGGUUCCAGAGGAAUGGAUCAGUGGACUGUACAGAACACAGAAGGAUGUCAUGAGGUUCCAGAGGAAUGGAUCAGUGGACUGUACAGAACACAGAAGGAUAUCAUGAGGUUCCAGAGGAAUGGAUCAGUGGACUGUACAGAACACAGAAGGAUGUCAUGAGGUUCCAGAGGAAUGGAUCAAUGGACUGUAAAGAACACAGAAGGAUGUCAUGAGGUUCCAGAGGAAUGGAUCAAUGGACUGUACAGAACACAGAAGGAUGUCAUGAGGUUCCAGAGGAAUGGAUCAAUGGACUGUACAGAACACAGAACACUUCUCCGCACCUGCCAGGUCAUGCAUCAGGUCCUUGAUUAGGUGUCCCACAAUGGCACAAAGGGCCAAUCCCACCAGCACCGCUGCCACCAGUAUGUAGAGAACAUGCUGGGGCAGACUGAUGGCAUCUCGAGGAGGAGGGAUGUAGUUUACAAAGUCAGCAGUAUGAUCCUUGUCCAUAGGAACCUGGGGGAGAAGCUGGAGAAGUCUGGAGUAAAACAUCCUUAAAACAUUUCUUGCGUAGAUGUCUUAAUGGAAGAAGGUGUGGACUCCAUACUGAACUCCUGUAAAGUGCACUCAUUUGCUGAAGAAUGGAAGUAUUUUUAUGUAUAUUUUUAAACUAUUCGCUCAGCUCAACACAAAUCCCGCUGUGGUACAGCAACAAGAGUUUAACCAUUAAAUAACAAGAGUAACUCGGCGUCG